AUGUGUGACUGGCGCUAACGUGGAAAUACCACGAGGGAGCACAACGUUCAUAAGCCGUACGCCUGGGCAA
rnacentral:ncRNA from 1 species